rnacentral:rRNA from 1 species
GACGAACCGUGCGAACGUUAUUCGGAAUCACUGGGCUUAAAGGGCGCGUAGACGGGCGACCGCGUCGAUGGCUGAAAGCCCCCGGCUCAACCGGGGAACGGGCCUCGAUACGGGUCGCCUCGAGGGGAGGAGGGGGACCUGGAACUGCCGGUGGAGCGGUGAAAUGCGUUGAGAUCGGCAGGAACGCCCGUGGCGAAAGCGAGGUCCUGGACUCCUACUGACGUUGAGGCGCGAAAGCCAGGGGAGCGAACGGG